ACGGGUGAGUAACACGUGGGCAAUCUGCCCUGCACUCUGGGACAAGCCCUGGAAACGGGGUCUAAUACCGGAUACGAGCCUCCACUGCAUGGUGGAGGUUGGAAAGCUCCGGCGGUGCAGGAUGAGCCCGCGGCCUAUCAGCUUGUUGGUGAGGUAACGGCUCACCAAGGCGACGACGGGUAGCCGGCCUGAGAGGGCGACCGGCCACACUGGGACUGAGACACGGCCCAGACUCCUACGGGAGGCAGCAGUGGGGAAUAUUGCACAAUGGGCGAAAGCCUGAUGCAGCGACGCCGCGUGAGGGAUGACGGCCUUCGGGUUGUAAACCUCUUUCAGCAGGGAAGAAGCGAGAGUGACGGUACCUGCAGAAGAAGCGCCGGCUAACUACGUGCCAGCAGCCGCGGUAAUACGUAGGGCGCAAGCGUUGUCCGGAAUUAUUGGGCGUAAAGAGCUCGUAGGCGGCUUGUCACGUCGGUUGUGAAAGCCCGGGGCUUAACCCCGGGUCUGCAGUCGAUACGGGCAGGCUAGAGUUCGGUAGGGGAGAUCGGAAUUCCUGGUGUAGCGGUGAAAUGCGCAGAUAUCAGGAGGAACACCGGUGGCGAAGGCGGAUCUCUGGGCCGAUACUGACGCUGAGGAGCGAAAGCGUGGGGAGCGAACAGGAUUAGAUACCCUGGUAGUCCACGCCGUAAACGGUGGGCACUAGGUGUGGGCAACAUUCCACGUUGUCCGUGCCGCAGCUAACGCAUUAGUGCCCGCUGGGGGAGUACGCCGCAAGGCUAAACUCAAAGAUGACGG
rnacentral:rRNA from 1 species